CAUCACUAUUCAUCUUGAUAUAAGAGGCGGCCACGCGAAUAGGGAUUUGAAAUGGAAAUCAUUAAAAAUAGAUUAUUUGAAUUGUUGGAAAAGAGACAUAUUUAAUGCAUUCUGCAGAAUUUAUUUGCAUUUUAUAAUCUGCUUUGAAUUCAGUUGGACAGGAAACAGAGGCCAUGGCGUCUAAAUAACCAGCCAGUAUGAGAGUUGUGUUGGGUACAUAUGACAUUUAUAUAAAUCUUCAACAAGAAUGAAUAAGAUGUAACUGCUCUCUUCGUGUUAAUUCACCAAGAGCCAGGUUUCUGACAACUGCAUCUGACAACAUAGGUCAUAAACACCGCUGGCCGCAUUGCCACAUUUCUAGAAAUCACUGGCUCAGGUCUUUAGGUUAUGGCACUCAUGCAAAAAAUAAAUCCUGAAUCAUUUAAAGCCCCAAAAGUAAGAGCAUCUCAUU